rnacentral:rRNA from 1 species
GACGAACGCUGGCGGCGUGCUUAACACAUGCAAGUCGAACGAAGAGCGACGGAAGCUUGCUUCUAUCAAUCUUAGUGGCGAACGGGUGAGUAACGCGUAAUCAACCUGCCCUUCAGAGGGGGACAACAGUUGGAAACGACUGCUAAUACCGCAUACGAUCUAACCUCGGCAUCGAGGGUAGAUGAAAGGUGGCCUCUACAUGUAAGCUAUCACUGCAGGAGGGGAUUGCGUCUGAUUAGCUAGUUGGCGGGGUAACGGCCCACCAAGGCGAUGAUCAGUAGCCGGUCUGAGAGGAUGAACGGCCACAUUGGGACUGAGACACGGCCCAGACUCCUACGGGAGGCAGCAGUGGGGAAUCUUCCGCAAUGGACGAAAGUCUGACGGAGCAACGCCGCGUGAGUGAUGACGGCCUUCGGGUUGUAAAGCUCUGUUAAUCGGGACGAAAGGCCUUCUUGCGAAUAGUGAGAAGGAUUGACGGUACCGGAAUAGAAAGCCACGGCUAACUACGUG